UCAUUCAUUUGUGCAUGACAACAUUUCUACGAAUCAUCUGAUUGUCACAUAAUCUAAUUAUAUCAUUAAAGACUUUUAACAAUGGAUCUCUAGGCUCUUGCAUCGAUGAAGAACGCAGUGAAGUGCGAAAAGUAAUGCGAUUUGCAUGCUCUGUGAGUCAUCGAAUCUUUGAACGCAUAUGGCACCUGCCAACUCUUGUUGGAAGGUAUGCCUGUUUGAGAAUCAUCUACAAACUGCUCUUUUUUGUUCCCUCUAGUUACAGUUCACCUGCAAUUAUAUAGGAACAAGAAUGCUAUUGUUGGACCUUUAACAUUAAUCGUCUUUAAUUCUGAAAUACAAUGACCUGUUGAUAAAAUGUGAGAAUGGAUUCAUUUCAUUCGAUAUAUAUUUUGACAUGUCACAAACACCCUUAAUAAUGAUCUCAAAUCAGGCAAGGCUACCCGCUGAACUUAA
rnacentral:rRNA from 1 species